UACGUAGGGUGCAAGCGUUAAUCGGAAUUACUGGGCGUAAAGCGUGCGCAGGCGGUUUUGUAAGUCUGUCGUGAAAUCCCCGGGCUCAACCUGGGAACUGCAUUUGUGACUGCAUCGCUGGAGUGCGGCAGAGGGGGAUGGAAUUCCGCGUGUAGCAGUGAAAUGCGUAGAUAUGCGGAGGAACACCGAUGGCGAAGGCAAUCCCCUGGGCCUGCACUGACGCUCAUGCACGAAAGGCGUGGGGAGCAAACAGG
rnacentral:rRNA from 1 species